GGUUAAGUCUGCCCAGUGAAAACUAAUUUUUUAACGGCCGCAGUACUUUGACUGUGCUAAGGUAGCAAAAUAAAUAGGCUUUUAAUUAAGGUCGAGAAUGAAUGGCACCAUGGGCGUAAACUGUCUCCUUUUAUGAUUGUUAAUUUGCUUAAUAGGUGAAAAGACCUAUAUUAAAAAUAAUAGACGAGAAGACCCUUAGAGUUUUUAACCAUAUUAACUAUUAGAUUAGUUUAUUAAUUUUUUGUUGGGGCGACAUAGUAUCAAAUAGCAUACUUAAUAUUAUUGAUGUAACAAGUCUUUAUUACAAUUGAAUAUAACUACCUAAGGGAUAACAGCAUAAUUUUUAACAUAAAGAUUGUGACCUCGAUGUUGGACUAGGGACUAAAUGUAUUAGUCAUAUA
rnacentral:rRNA from 1 species